GCACUACUGAAGAGUCCCACAAUAGGACAAAACGACCGUCCAGUGC
rnacentral:hammerhead_ribozyme from 1 species